UACGAGGGGUCCUAGCGUUGUUCGGAAUCAUUGGGCGUAAAGCGUGUGUAGGCGGCCAUGCAAGUCAGUUGUGAAAGCCCCGGGCUCAACCCGGGAAGUGCUUCUGAUACUGCAUGGCUUGAGUACUGGAGAGGGUAGUGGAAUUCCUGGUGUAGUGGUGAAAUACGUAGAUAUCAGGAGGAACACCGGUGGCGAAGGCGGCUACCUGGCCAUGUACUGACGCUGAGACACGAAAGCGUGGGGAGCAAACAGG
rnacentral:rRNA from 1 species